rnacentral:lncRNA from 1 species
UGCUGUAUGUCAACCUCAUCUGAUCGUAUCAAAGAUCUUUCAAAUUUAUUAUUAAAGAACCCUAUUGAUUGAUCUUGACUUUAAUUCGAUCUGUGCUUCAUGAUUUCUUGAUCAAGUCACUUAAAUCUGACCCUCAGAUCAGAGAUCCUGAAUUGCUCUGGUAUCUGGAUGGUCUGACACAUCUGGUCAACAGUCCUCUUUCCUUAUGAUUUAAUCUUAUUAUAUUUAUGGAAUAGAAAUUGAUGAUGAUUUGAUAUUUUAAAUAGGAUUAGCUGAUUCUUUUAACGAAGUCUGAAGAUCUAAGAUGAACGAGGUAAGUGGAUCUUAUGCUCCUUAUUU